UGGCCUUGACAUAGACAGAAUUUAGUAGAGAUAUAAAAGUGCCAGUUUACUGGAGCUGUUAUACAGGUGCUGCACGGCUGUCGUCAGCUCGUGUCGUGAGAUGUUGGGUUAAGUCCCGCAACGAGCGCAACCCACGUCAUUAGUUACUAACAGUUUGGCUGAGGACUCUAAUGAGACUGCCUGGGUAACCAGGAGGAAGGUGUGGACGACGUCAAGUCAUCAUGGCCCUUACGGCCAGGGCUACACACGUGCUACAAUGGGGUAUACAAAGAGCCGCAAUACCGUGAGGUGGAGCAAAUCUUAAAAAUAUCUCCCAGUUCGGAUAGCACUCUGCAACUCGAGUGCUUGAAGUUGGAAUCGCUAGUAAUCGUAGAUCAGCAAUGCUACGGUGAAUACGUUCCCGGGUCU
rnacentral:rRNA from 1 species